CAACUGAGAAGCAAAAGAAUUAUCAGGGCCCUGAAUUGAACAGACCUCCUUCUGUGAACCGGAUGGCACCUCCACACUGGUGCCCCUUAUUGGCCCUUUCCAUACAUCACCAAUUGUCUCCCAACUCCGACUAUUGUUGGACAAUGUCCUAUUCUGGUCCCAGUCUGGCCUUCCAUAAAGGUGAGCUUCUUCACCAAAAUUGUUAGCAUCCCAUCCAUGCAAUGGGGGCCCACAUGAAUCAUCUAGUGGAGUUCGCCAACCCAUUGGGCGCCCAUGGCCAGAAAAGCGGUCUGCAUCUGGCAUAUGGUAAGGAACCCCAGGGUGACUCAAGUCCAUUGAAGGCCUAACACCGAACAUUGGUGGUCCAGGAAACUGCUGCAUUGCGGGAUGAAAACCAACAGGAGGUGGACCAUGCUGGAAAGGCAUGAAACCAUUUGCCAGAGGUGACGGCCAAUUUGGAACCCCCUUCCAAGCAUUUCCUUGCAUUCUUCCUAUAGUCGGAUCAUUGAUUCUUCUGUGACGAUUGGUAGACUUCCCUCUACUGUCGUCGUCCAAAG
rnacentral:misc_RNA from 1 species